rfam:Nematostella vectensis strain CH2 x CH6 NEMVEscaffold_25_Cont4526, whole genome shotgun sequence.
GGCCCUGUGGCCCAGUGGAUAAGGCGCCUGAAUACGGAUCAAGAGAUUCCAUGAUCGAGUCCUGGCAGGGUCG